UGUUGAGAAGUGUUUGAGGGAUGCUAAGAUGGAUAAGAGCACCGUACAUGAUGUUGUCCUUGUUGGUGGCUCCACUAGGAUUCCAAAGGUGCAGCAGCUGUUGCAAGAUUUCUUCAACGGAAAAGAGCUUUGCAAGAGUAUCAAUCCUGAUGAAGCCGUUGCUUAUGGUGCUGCUGUCCAGGCUGCAAUCUUGAGUGGUGAAGGCAAUGAGAAGGUGCAGGAUCUGCUUCUCUUGGAUGUCACUCCGCUGUCCCAGGGUCUGGAAACUGCUGGUGGUGUCAUGACUGUUCUGAUCCCAAGGAACACUACAAUUCCAACCAAGAAGGAGCAAGUUUUCUCUACCUACGCAGACAAUCAACCUGGUGUGUUGAUCCAGGUUUAUGAGGGCGAGAGAACAAGAACUAGAGACAACAACUUGCUGGGCAAAUUUGAGCUCUCAGGCAUUCCUCCUGCACCAAGGGGUGUUCCACAAAUCACUGUGUGCUUUGAUAUUGAUGCCAAUGGUAUCUUAAACGUUUCUGCAGAGGAUAAGACCACUGGCCAGAAGAACAAGAUUACCAUCACUAACGAUAAGGGAAGGUUGUCCAAGGAAGAAAUUGAGAAAAUGGUUCAGGAGGCUGAAAAGUACAAAUCUGAAGAUGAGGAGCACAAGAAGAAGGUCGAGGCAAAGAAUGCCUUGGAGAAUUAUGCCUACAACAUGAGGAACACUGUUAAGGAUGAAAAGAUCAGUUCGAAGUUGGAUGCUUCUGACAAGAAGAAGAUUGAGGAUGCCAUUGAACAAACCAUUCAUUGGCUAGACAGCAAUCAGCUGGCAGAGGCGGAUGAAUUUGAGGACAAGAUGAAAGAGCUUGAGAGUCUCUGCAAUCCCAUAAUUGCCAAGAUGUAUCAAGGUGCUGAUGCUGGCAUGGGUGGAGGCAUGGAUGAUGAUGCUCCUCCGGCAGGUGGCAGUGGUGCAGGUCCCAAAAUUGAGGAAGUUGAUUAAGCAUUGUGGGUGAUCUUUUAAAGCAAUGGUGAUGAAAAUUCAUAUUGCCUUUCUGUUGGCAAUGAUUUUGUUGUGUUUGUUUCUGUUGUUAAGUAGUAUGGUAGACAUUGUCUUCUUAUCCUUAGUAGAUUUAUAUAUUGGCUGAAUGCCAUUUACGGGACAAAUUUCGCUGAUGCUAUAUUAGUAGCUUCUUGCUUUGUUGAAACAACAACAUCCGCUGCAUAUUUUUUUUCCCAACAUGCUUUUGUGUUAUGCUAGACGUUCUAAUGUUUCAUUGCUUAAUAUCAAGUAAUAAACCAUCAAAAGUAGUUGUUUUAGUAUGUUUUAGGUCAUAAUUUUAAAAAUUAUUUAUCACGUGUAAAAUGUCUUUGCUUACGGCCGAGUGAUUUGAAUUGCUCUAGCCCGGUCAGUCUCCUCUCCUUUCGCCACCCUCUAUAGCUCCUUUUCUCCCUUUCUUUGAUCCCCAUUUUCAAGUAUGAGGUCCGGUGAACUUGUGGAAUGCGUGUGUGUGUAUUCUUUGUUAUAAAAUGUGGUUUACAAUUUGUAUUUUGGUGUUUUUAUUGGAUAUAUGGUUGAUUUGAUUAGCCCGCAUCUAUGGUGUUUGUGUUCCCUUUUUUUUUAUAAUUUUAUUUUAAAUAAAACGUCCAGAUUCUUG
rnacentral:misc_RNA from 1 species